rnacentral:rRNA from 1 species
GAUGAACGCUAGCGGCAGGCUUAACACAUGCAAGUCGAGGGGCAGCAUGACACGGAGAUUCGUCGAAGUGUUGAUGGCGACCGGCGCAAGGGUGCGUAACGCGUGAGCAACUUGCCCGUUUCAGGGGGAUAACCGGUGGAAACGCCGACUAAUACCCCAUAACACUUCGGAGGGCAUCCUCUGGGGUUGAAAGUUCCGGCGGUUAGAGAUGGACAUGCGUUGUAUUAGCUAGAUGGUGAGGUAAUGGCUCACCAUGGCGACGAUACAUAGGGGGACUGAGAGGUUAACCCCCCACACUUGGUACCUGAGACACGGACCAAACUCCUACGGGAGGCAGCAGUGAGGAAUAUGGUCAAUGGACGCAAGUCUGAACCAGCCAUGCCGCGUGCAGGAUGACGGCUCUAUG